CUGCUCACACAUGCCUGAAUUUUUUAGGUGGGCAUGCAGCGUAGAGGCCUCACCCUGUUUUAUUCAGUGCACACAUCCGGUGCUUUAGUGUUAAUCCUUUCCUUUUAUGCUGGCAUGGACCCGCAGUUUUUGGGAUAUGCUGUCGUACAGAUUGAUCUGGAGUAUGUUUAUCCAGACGCUUACAAUGGUAGAGUAUUUUACUAUUUUUUUUGCGUCUGGAUGCAACACUUGCUGUUUCUCAAGCUGCUAUCUUUCUUACGUUGGUUUAGCAUCACUAGUUGGAUGGCUGCUGUGGCAUUUCACUUCCACGGUUUCUUUUAUCUCUGGGCAAUUGCCCUAUCAUCUGAUUGAGGUGCUACGGUGCUGUGUUGACUUUUUUGGCAUAUCUUCAGGCUGUUCGGUUCUGAUUGCUUCCGUCUCCAGGGCCUAGCCUCUGCAUCCACAAUACCUAUAUGUCC
rnacentral:lncRNA from 1 species